rnacentral:rRNA from 1 species
UUCGUCACACUAUCAUUAACUGAAUCCAUAGGUUAAUGAGGCGAACCGGGGGAACUGAAACAUCUAAGUACCCCGAGGAAAAGAAAUCAACCGAGAUUCCCCCAGUAGCGGCGAGCGAACGGGGAGCAGCCCAGAGCCUGAAUCAGUGUGUGUGUUAGUGGAAGCGUCUGGAAAGGCGCGCGAUACAGGGUGACAGCCCCGUACACAAAAAUGCACAUGCUGUGAGCUCGAUGAGUAGGGCGGGACACGUGGUAUCCUGUCUGAAUAUGGGGGGACCAUCCUCCAAGGCUAAAUACUCCUGACUGACCGAUAGUGAACCAGUACCGUGAGGGAAAGGCGAAAAGAACCCCGGCGAGGGGAGUGAAAAAGAACCUGAAACCGUGUACGUACAAGCAGUGGGAGCACAGAGCAAUCUGUGUGACUGCGUACCUUUUGUAUAAUGGGUCAGCGACUUAUAUUCUGUAGCAAGGUUAACCGAAUAGGGGAGCCGAAGGGAAACCGAGUCUUAACUGGGCGUUAAGUUGCAGGGUAUAGACCCGAAACCCGGUGAUCUAGCCAUGGGCAGGUUGAAGGUUGGGUAACACUAACUGGAGGACCGAACCGACUAAUGUUGAAAAAUUAGCGGAUGACUUGUGGCUGGGGGUGAAAGGCCAAUCAAACCGGGAGAUAGCUGGUUCUCCCCGAAAGCUAUUUAGGUAGCGCCUCGUGAAUUCAUCUCCGGGGGUAGAGCACUGUUUCGGCAAGGGGGUCAUCCCGA